rnacentral:rRNA from 6 species
AAAAAACGACUCUCGGCAACGGAUAUCUCGGCUCUCGCAUCGAUGAAGAACGUAGCGAAAUGCGAUACUUGGUGUGAAUUGCAGAAUCCCGUGAACCAUCGAGUCUUUGAACGCAAGUUGCGCCCGAAGCCGUCAGGCCGAGGGCACGUCUGCCUGGGCGUCACG